rnacentral:rRNA from 1 species
GCAUAUCAAUAAGCGGAGGAAAAGAAAAUAACAAUGAUUCCCUUAGUAACGGCGAGUGAAGGGGGAUAAGCUCAAAUUUUAAAUCUACCAGGUUAACCUGGUCGAGUUGUAAUUUGAAGAAGCGUUUUCCGCGUUCGGGUCGGCCCAAAUCCUUUGGGAUAAGGUAUCAUGGAGGGUGAGAAUCCCGUUCGGCUGACCUUAGGAUGCUUUACGAUACGCUCUCAAAGAGUCGAGUUGUUUGGGAUUGCAGCUCAAAAUGGGAGGUAAAUUUCUCCUAAGGCUAAAUACCGGCGAGAGACCGAUAGCGAACAAGUACCGUGAGGGAAAGAUGAAAAGAACUUUGAAAAGAGAGUUAAACAGUACGUGAAAUUGUUGAAAGGGAAACGAUUGAAGCCAGUCGUACCUUCGGGUAAUCAGCCUUUCGGGUGCGAUUCUGUGGAGUGUGAGGAGCUUAACACCUUCAUGCUUUUGCAUAUUUGUGCUCUUGGGUGUACUUGCCCGUGUGGUUGGUUAACAUCAAUUUUGGUUAUCAUAAAAUGACUGGAGGAAUGUAGCUUCGAUCUCGUAUUGAAGUGUUAUAGCCUUCGGUAGAUGUGAUGAUCGAGAUUGAGGAUUGCAACGGAUACCCUUCGGGGCUACCUGUCUGGUCUCUGAUCGUUGCUCUGGUGCCGAAAGCGUGCUUACGGUUAUCAAAGUCGAUGGUCAAUAGGUUAGAACGGGUUAAAUUCGUUAAGGAUGUUGACGUA